rnacentral:rRNA from 1 species
UACAGAGGGUGCAAGCGUUCAUCGGAAUUACUGGGCGUAAAGCGUGCUCAGACGGUUGCGUAAGUCAGAUGUGAAAGCCCCGGGCUCAACCUGGGAAUUGCAUUUGAGACUGCGUAGCUAGGGUGCGGAAGAGGGAAGCGGAAUUUCCGGUGUAGCGGUGAAAUGCGUAGAUAUCGGAAGGAACACCAGUGGCGAAAGCGGCUUCCUGGUCCAGCACCGACGUUCAGGCACGAAAGCGUGGGGAGCAAACAGG